AGUGAACGCUGGCGGUAGGCCUAACACAUGCAAGUCGAACGGCAGCACAGUAAGAGCUUGCUCUUACGGGUGGCGAGUGGCGGACGGGUGAGGAAUACAUCGGAAUCUACUCUUUCGUGGGGGAUAACGUAGCGAAACUUACGCUAAUACCGCAUACGACCUACGGGUGAAAGCAGGGGAUCUUCGGACCUUGCGCGAUUGAAUGAGCCGAUGUCGGAUUAGCUAGUUGGCGGGGUAAAGGCCCACCAGGGCGACGAUCCGUAGCUGGUCUGAGAGGAUGAUCGGCCACACUGGAGCUGAGACGCGGUCCAGACGCCUAAGAGAGGCAGCAGUGGGGAAUAUUGGACAAUGGGCGCAAACCUGAUCCAACCAUACCGCGUGGGUGAAGGAGGCCUUCGGUUUGGAAAGCCCUUUUGUUGGGAGAAAAAAGCAGCAGGUUAAUACCCCGCUGUUCUGACGGUACCCGAAGAAUAAGCACCGGCUAACUUCGUG
rnacentral:rRNA from 1 species